AUGCGGAUCAGCGCGUUCGCGUCGCGGCGCGGCGGGGACUUCCGAGCGGCGUCGCGGUGCUCGAGAUCGCGGGCGGGCGGUCGUGAGCUCCGACACGCGUCGAGCCUUUUUCGCACCUUUUCGCAGCCGCGAAGGCUAGGACGAGUCCGAGCCGACAGCCUCCACCUGGGCUCGCGCGAGCACGCAGCGGUGAUCAAUUGUCACGAGGCAGCGGAGCUUGCACCAAUUCGCCGGAUACUGCCAAGUCUCAACCUUUUCUUUGAAAACUGUCUUCAGAGUCUGCAAGAAACGCUACCGAACUCAACCUUUUUUAAAAAUGUCUAUUUUACAGUUUGCAGGUAUUGAUGAAAUAAUUGCAGUGAUCAAUUGUCGCGAGGCAGCGGAGCUUGCACCAAUUCGCCGGAUAUCGCCAAGUCUCAACCUUUUUAUUUAAAACUGUCUUCAGAGUCUGCAAGUGACCCAAGGAGAGCGCUACAAAACUCAACCUUUUUAAAACUUUCUUUUUCAGUUUGCAGAUAGCGAUGAAAUAAUUACAUGCAACCAAUGAACUUCUAGCCACGGGUUCUUUUCCCCAGCAAUUCGCCAGAUACCAAAUUUCAACUUUUUUUAAAACUGUUUUCAGAGUCUGCAAGUAGCGUUACAAGUCUCAACCUUUUUUAAAUUUUUUUUUUUUACAGUUUGCAGGUAACGAUAAAAAAUUACUUUGCAACCAAAGAACUUCGGGGCACAAGUAUUUUUUUUUAAAUUAGUUAUGCUGGUUCAAUGCUUGUUAGUUACUAUGAAUUGUACACUGAGUCUCAAUUUUCUUUAAAAAAAAAAGUAAACACCUUUGCAACCGUUCCUAUUUAACAAUGAAACAAUUCCACGGCGAAACCUAUCAGUCUUGACAACAGUGUGUGGUAUUCUUAAAAUUAAAUUCCAAUAUUUUUUUCGUGUAUUUCAGGAAGGGGCUCCAAAAGUUGCGAGCAAUUUUAGUCCAGAAUAUCAAAUUUCAAAUUUUUUCAACUGUUAGCAUGUAGCGAUGAGAUUAUUCCUCUGCAACUAAAAAUAUAGCGUUUAAUAAUAUUGAGUUAUCGGUGAAGGUCUCCAACUAGUGCAGUAUUAUACUUCAGAAGUAAAUCCUAAUAGUCCCUGCUUUAAUGAAUGCUGCAGAAAUUUUCUAGAAAUUUCGGACCAGAACGACAAGCUUCAAAUUUUAUCAAAACUUUAUGAAACGUGCUAAGAGGAUCAUCCGGCAAGCUACCUCAACGAUUUUGAUCCAAAAUGCCAAGUCUUAAUUUUUAAAGACUUUUCCCGAAGCGUCUAAAGGUUCAUCCGGCAAGCGACUAAAAUAAUUUAAGUAUCGUUCUUGAUGUCAAAUCGAUUUACGUUUACUUUCUUCUUGUUUUUGUUUUUGACAACAGUCAGAAAAGCAGCACAAAUCGACUCGAAGUAGAGCUGUACAAUGCACAGACAGGGCUCCGUCAGUUGGGAAAAUCACAUUUUUCGGGGGGCACCGGGGGGCUGAGACGGGGUGCACAUCACUGGAGCGCGAGGGGUGGCAGACAACGUCACUGGGAUUUCAGCUUCGAAACGCUCAUGACGGCCAGUAGACGAACACUGAGCCUCAGCGCCGCGACGCUCGCCGCUCGCUCGGGCCGCGCGAUGCCGCCAUCUGGUCUAGCGCGGCGCGCCCACCGCUGCCGAGU
rnacentral:lncRNA from 1 species